UGAGGAAUAUUGGACAAUGGGCGCAAGCCUGAUCCAGCCAUGCCGCAUGCAGGAAGACGCAUCUAUGGUGUGUAAACUGCUUUUGUACGGGAAGAAACACUCCCUCGUGAGGGAGCUUGACGGUACCGUAAGAAUAAGGAUUGGCUAACUCCGUGCCAGCAGCCGCGGUAAUACGGAGGAUCCCAGCGUUAUCCGGAAUCAUUGGGUUUAAAGGGUCCGUAGGCGGUUUAAUAAGUCAGUGGUGAAAGCCCAUCGCUCAACGAUGGAACGGCCAUUGAUACUGUUAGACUUGAAUUACAAGGAAGUAACUAGAAUAUGUAGUGUAGCGGUGAAAUGCUUAGAUAUUACAUGGAAUACCAAUUGCGAAGGCAGGUUACUACUUGUGGAUUGACGCUGAUGGACGAAAGCGUGGGGAGCGAACAGGAUU
rnacentral:rRNA from 1 species